GAUGAACGCUGGCGGCGUGCCUAAUACAUGCAAGUCGAGCGAACGGACGAGAAGCUUGCUUCUCUGAUGUUAGCGGCGGACGGGUGAGUAACACGUGGAUAACCUACCUAUAAGACUGGGAUAACUUCGGGAAACCGGAGCUAAUACCGGAUAAUAUUUUGAACCGCCUGGUUCAAAAGUGAAAGACGGUCUUGCUGUCACUUAUAGAUGGAUCCGCGCUGCAUUAGCUAGUUGGUAAGGUAACGGCUUACCAAGGCAACGAUGCAUAGCCGACCUGAGAGGGUGAUCGGCCACACUGGAACUGAGACACGGUCCAGACUCCUACGGGAGGCAGCAGUAGGGAAUCUUCCGCAAUGGGCGAAAGCCUGACGGAGCAACGCCGCGUGAGUGAUGAAGGUCUUCGGAUCGUAAAACUCUGUUAUUAGGGAAGAACAUAUGUGUAAGUAACUGUGCACAUCUUGACGGUACCUAAGCAGAAAGCCACGGCUAACUACGU
rnacentral:rRNA from 1 species